rnacentral:misc_RNA from 1 species
UUUCCGUAGGUGAACCUGCGGAAGGAUCAUUAAAAAAUUGGACUCCAUUGGUGAGUUCAUUAAUAAUCCUACCCUUUGUGAAUUUGUUUGUUUGAAUAAUUUUUUUUCCAAAAAAAUUUAUUGAAUGUCUUUCCCUGUUUUGGUGGAGCUUGUAAAGUGAAACCAGGCAGGGGAAUGGCAAACAAUAAUUAUUUUUGAAAAAGACCUUUUUUAAAAUUAAACUUUUUGUAUUCAUUUGUCUAAAAUUAUUUUUAUAAUAUAAAAACAACUUUUGACAAUGGAUCUCUUGGUUCUCGCAACGAUGAAGAACGCAGCAAAAUGCGAUAAGUAGUGUGAAUUGCAGAAUACGUGAAUCAUCGAAUCUUCGAACGCAUAUUGCACUUUUUUAGUUUACCAAAAAAGUAUGUCUGUUUGAGUAUCAGUAAAAUAUUCUCAUAAAAAAUUUAUUUUUUAUGGUUAUGAGUGUUUUACAACGAUAACAAGUUGUUUCACUUUAAAUUCUUUGUUAUCAAAAAAAUCAUUAAAAGCUAAUUUUAAAGAUUUUUUAAAAUUGGAUAAAAUUUUCCCGUAAAAAGGAAUAACCUAAACAAUUUUAAAAAAUUAAAAUUGGUUUGAUUUUUCUUGAUUUAAAAAGGAAAAAAAAGUAAAAAUUAACUUGAUCUCAAAUCAGAUAAGAGUACCCGCUGAACUUAAGCAUAUCAAUAGGCGGAGGAAAAGAAACUAACUAGGAUUCCCUCAGUAACGGCGAGUGAAGCGGGAAGAGCUCAAAUUUGAAAUCUUCAAGGUUUUACCUUGACGAAUUGUAGUUUAAAGAAGUGUUUUCUGUUGGAGUUUUGGUAAAAGUUCUUUGGAAAAGGACAUCAUAGAGGGUGAGAAUCCCGUAUUUGACCAUUAUCUCCAGCUUUGUGAUACACUUUCAAAGAGUCGGAUUGUUUGGGAAUGCAGUCCAAAAUGGGUGGUAAAUUUCAUCUGAAGCUAAAUACUGGCGAGAGACCGAUAGCGAACAAGUACCGUGAGGGAAAGAUGAAAAGAACUUUGAAAAGAGAGUUAAACAGUACGUGAAAUUGUCAAAAGGGAAGCGUUUGACACCUGUGUUGUUUUCUCGAAAAUCAAUUAAAAAAGGCCGGAUUUUGUGUUGUAUUGACUUUAUCAGCUUUCUGCACUUUUUUCUUGUCUUUUUUAAUGCACUUUUCGUUUAACAAGUCAACAUCAAUUUCUUUUGUUGUAAAAGGGUCAUUGGAAGGUGGCUUUCUUUUCGGAGAAAGUGUUUAUAGCCUUUGGCCUCUGCAAUCGGAGAGAUUGAGGUCUGCAGCGUAGAUCCUUCGGGGUUAGAUACAUUUGUGCUAAGUUAUAGCCUUUCAUAGACAACUUGUUGACUAUGAUCAGUCAUGUAGCUUACUCGCUUAUGCUAUUU